CAUCGCCUCUUGCAUAACCACAGUAUAAGAGGUCCCGCCUGCCCAGUGACGACUUAGUUCAACGGCCGCGGUAUUUUGACCGUGCAAAGGUAGCGUAAUCACUUGUCUUUUAAAUGAAGACCUGUAUGAAUGGCAUAACGAGGGCUUAACUGUCUCCUUCCCCCGGUCAAUGAAAUUGAUCUCCCCGUGCAGAAGCGGGGAUAAAACCAUAAGACGAGAAGACCCUAUGGAGCUUUAGACACACAGGUGGCCCAUGUCAAAUAACCCCCGCUAAGGGCCUGAACUAAGUGGAACCUGCCUUGAUGUCUUCGGUUGGGGCGACCAUGGGGAAUACAAAACCCCCACGUGGAAGGGGAGCACACCCCUAAGUUACUUCUUCUCCCGCAAGCCAGAGCAACGGCUCUAACCAGCAGAAAUUCUGACCAAACUGAUCCGGUAAUACCGAUCAACGAACCAAGUUACCCUAGGGAUAACAGCGCAAUCCCCUUUUAGAGCCCAUAUCGACAAGGGGGUUUACGACCUCGAUGUUGGAUCAGGACAUCCUAAUGGUGCAGCCGCUAUUAAGGGUUCGUUUGUUCAACGAUUAAAGUCCUACGUG
rnacentral:rRNA from 1 species